rnacentral:rRNA from 1 species
UCAAGCUACAAAGAGCACAAGGGGAAUGCCUUGGCACCGAGAGCCGAAGAAGGACGUGACUAACUGCGAUAAGCUACGGGGAGCUGUAAGUGAGCGUUAUAUCCGUAGAUUUCCGAAUGGAGCAAUCCGAUUAGAGGAAAGUCUAAUCAUCAUAUACUGAAUACAUAGGUAUAUGAGGGGAACCGCCUGAACUGAAACAUCUAAGUAGGGCGAGGAAGAGAAAUCAACUGAGAUUCCGUAAGUAGUGGCGAGCGAACGCGGAAGAGGCCAAACCUAAUGUAGUAAUAUGUUAGGGGUUCGGACAGUAUAAUGAAUUGUCGAAAUUUAGCCGAAUGUCAUGGGAAGGGCAAUCAAAGAAGGUGAAAAUCCUGUAGGCGAAAAGUUAAGACAUCAGACUGUAUCCAGAGUACCGCCGGACACGUGAAACCCGGUGGGAAUACGGGGGGACCAUCCUCCAAGCCUAAAUACUACUCGGUGACCGAUAGAGAAGAAGUACUGUGAAGGAAAGGUGAAAAGCACCCCGGAAGGGGAGUGAAAGAGAACCUGAAACCUUGUGUUUACAAGCACCGAAAGUUCAUCAACGAACGAUCGGGUACCUUUUGUAGAAUGGUCCGGCGAGUGAAUGUAACUGGCAAGGUUAAGCACUUAAGGUGUGAAGCCGUAGCGAGAGCGAGUCUGAAAAGGGCGCAUGAAGUCAGUUGUAUUCGACCCGAAACCGGGUGACCUACCCAUGUCCAGGCUGAAGUGCAGGUAAAACUUCAUGGAGGGCCGAACCGACUCCCGUUGAAAUGGUAGCGGAUGAGGUGUGGGUAGCGGAGAAAUUCCAAUCGAACCCGGAGAUAGCUGGUUCUCUCCGAAAUAGCUUUAGGGCUAGCCUUGGAAUAGAUUACUGGAGGUAAAGCACUGAAUUGGCUAGGGGCCGAGAGGUUACUGAACCUUAUCAAACUAAGAAUGCCAGAUAAUCGUUUUCCAGGAGUCAGACAGUGGGAGAUAAGUUUCAUUGUCAAAAGGGAAACAGCCCAGACCUACAGCUAAGGUCCCAAAGUAUAGUUAAGUGGAAAAGGAUGUGGAAUUGCAUAGACAACCAGGAUGUUGGCUUAGAAGCAGCCACUCAUUAAAAGAGUGCGUAAUAGCUCACUGGUCGAGUGAUUCUGCGCCGAAAAUUUAACGGGGCUAAACUAUACACCGAAGCUUAGGAUACCGCAAGGUAUGGUAGGAGAGCGUUCUGUACGGAGUGAAGUCGUAGCGAAAGCGGCGGUGGACUGUACAGAAGUGAGAAUGCCGGAAUAAGUAGCGAGAAUUAAGUGAGAAUCUUAAUGGCCGAAAGUCUAAGGUUUUUGGAGGAAGGUUCGUCCGCUCCAAGUAAGUCGGGAGCUAAGGUCAGGCCGAAAGGCGUAGCCGAUGCACAAACGGUUGAUAUUCCGUUACCGUCUACAAUUUAAACAAAGGGACACAUACAAAGCGUUUAACCCGGGCGAUGGUUGACCCGGGCGCAAGGGACUGAAAUUAGAGUAGGGAAGUAAAUGUGGCGUAUGGCGAGAAAAGCUUUGUGAAUAGAAGUAGACGCCCGUACCGCAAACCGACACAGGUGGACAGGAAGAGAAUUCUAAGGCCAGCGGGAGAAGGGUAGUUAAGGAACUCGGCAAAUUGACUCCGUAACUUCGGAAUAAGGAGUGCUCGAAAGAGCCGCAGAGAAUAGGCCCAGGCGACUGUUUAGCAAAAACACAGGUCUCUGCCAAAUCGAAAGAUGAAGUAUAGGGGCUGACACCUGCCCGGUGCCGGAAGGUUAAGAGGAGGAGUGCAAGCUCCGAAUUGAAGCCCCGGUAAACGGCGGCCGUAACUAUAACGGUCCUAAGGUAGCGAAAUUCCUUGUCGGGUAAGUUCCG